AUGAAUGGGACUCGUAGUAAGCCGUUCGUUGUGAGAGUUACAGCAGGAACGGCACCACUCGUUCGUUGCUCGCCUCCGCUUCUGCCUCCGAUUCCCACCCAUCGCGCCACCAGUCCAUCACCACUCCCAGAAAACCCUCCACCUCGCUCGGGCGUUGGUGCUCGCCCGAUGAUCACGUUCGCGGACCUGACGGAGCCGGCGCCGGGCGCCGAGCGGCGCGUUGACCGGCAGCUGUGGCUGGCGUGCGCGGGCGGCAUGUGCACCGUGCCGCCGGUGGGCUGCACCGUCUACUACUUCCCGCAAGGCCACGCCGAGCACGCGCUUGGCCUCGACGCCGGGGCCGAUCUCUCCGCGGCGCGCGUCCCAGCGCUCGUGCCCUGCCGCGUCGCCGCCGUGCGGUACGUGGCCGACACGGACACCGACGAGGUCUUCGCCAGGAUCCGCCUCGCCCCACUUGGCGCCACGGACGCGGAUGGCGAUAUCCAUGACGAUGCCGCGGCGGCGGCUGAUGACGAGCAGGAGAAGCCGGCGUCGUUCUCAAAGACUCUGACGCAGUCCGACGCCAACAACGGCGGGGGUUUCUCGGUGCCGAGGUACUGCGCUGAGACCAUCUUCCCGCGGCUGGACUACGCCGCCGACCCGCCCGUGCAGACCGUCAUCGCCAAGGACGUGCACGGGACUGCGUGGAAGUUCCGCCACAUCUACCGGGGCACCCCGCGGCGGCAUCUGCUCACCACGGGCUGGAGCGCGUUCGUGAACCAGAAGAAGCUCGUGGCCGGCGACUCCAUCGUGUUCCUGCGCGGCGACGGCGGGGACCUCCACGUGGGCAUCCGGCGCGCCAAGCGUGGGUUCUGCGGUGCCGAGGAGGGAUCCUUGUCUUUGACCGGUUGGGGCCGCUAUUCGGGUCCGAUGCGAGGCAAUGCGAGCCCGUGCACCCGGGGCAAGGUGCGCGCUGAGGACGUGGUCGAGGCGGCAAGGCUGGCGGGCAGUGGACAGCCGUUCGAGGUCGUGUACUUCCCACGCGCCAGCACACCGGAGUUCUGCGUGCGCGCCGCAGCAGUGCGAGCGGCGAUGCGGGUUCAGUGGUGCCCCGGGAUGCGGUUCAAGAUGGCAUUCGAGACCGAGGAUUCGUCCCGCAUCAGCUGGUUCAUGGGCACCGUCGCCGGCGUCCAGGUCGCCCACCCCACCCGCUGGCCGCAGUCGCCGUGGAGGCUUCUUCAGGUGACGUGGGACGAGCCGGACCUCCUCCAGAAUGUGAAGCGGGUCAGCCCGUGGCUGGUCGAGAUCGUGUCGAGCAUGCCGGCUAUGCACCUCGCCUCCUUCUCGCCGCCGCGCAAGAAGUCCCGUAUUCCGGCUUACCCGGAGUUCCCCUUCGAGGGUCAGCUCCUAAACCCGUCGUUCCCCCCAAACCCAAUGGCGCACGGCCAUCGGCGCCAUUAUCAUCACACCGACAGCUACCAUCCGUCCUUCUCCCCCUUCCCGGAUUGUAGUGCUCCUUCAGGCAUACAGGGAGCCAGGCAUUCGCAAUUUGGUCCAUUUUUAUCGGAUCUCCACCUUACCCACCUGCAGUCAAGACUCAUGUAUCCGGGGCUUCGCUGCCACGAUCAUGUCAGUCCUGCACCAAUCCCGUCAAGAAUCACCACUGACCUGACCAUCGGGAGCUCACCGGCGCGCAACGGCGUCUCAACCACUCUGCCUGCCAGCGCCAAGAGGCCCAACGACGCCAAGCCGCCGGGGCUAGUGCUCUUCGGACAAACCAUACUAACGGAGCAGCAGAUGAGCCGUGGCGACUUGGCAGGCGUGAGCUCAGCCGCGGCCACCGGGAACAGCUCGCUCAACUGGAACACCGACAAAGCGGGCAAUGCAUCGCAGGGCUCGGGCUCUACUGUCGUUCAGAACAGUGGCUCGACUGAUAACACAUCGCCGGAGAGACCGCGGCGGUUUGGAGACAAUAGCCACGUCUCCGAGCUCGGGUUGAAGCCCGGGCAAUGCAAGGUGUUCGUCGAGUCAGAUACCGUCGGCCGGAAUCUCGAUUGCUCGGCGAUGAGCUCGUUCGAGGAGCUCUAUGGCCGCCUGUCCGAGACGUUCUGCAUUGAGGGUGCGGAGCUGAGGAGCCGUGUGCUCUACCGUGGCGCCGACGGUGAAGUGAAGCACGCCGGUGACGAGCCUUUCAGCGAGUUUAUCAAGUCGGCACGGAGGCUUACCGUACUGACAGAUGCUGGGAGCAACAACACGGCGAGCUAG
rnacentral:rRNA from 1 species